ensembl:snRNA U6 U6 spliceosomal RNA
GUUCUCGCUUCAGCAGCACAUAUACUAAAAUUGGAACGAUACAGAGAAGAUUAACAUGGCCCCUGCACAAGGAUGACAGGCAAACUCAUGAAGUGUUCCAUAUUUUU